AAGAAAGAAAGAAAGAAAGAAAGAAAGAGGAAGAAAGAAAGAAAAAAGAAAAACAUGUUCUUAUCACAUCAAGUGGAGGGUGAAGGGAUAUAGACACUCCCCUCCCUCACCGCACACCAUGCACCCUCUCCUUGCUUUUGGCUAUUCCAAGCUUCUCGGGCCCUCGGGAUUUUUUUUCUUUUUCUUUGAGAUGGGGUCUCACCGUAGCCCAGGCUGGAGUGCAGUGGCGCAAUCACAGCUCACUGCAACCUCCACCUCCCAGGCUCAAGUGAUCCUCCUUCCUCAGCCUCCUGAGUAGCUGGGACUACAGGUGCAAGACACCAUGCCUGGCUAAUUUUUCUAUUUUUUGUAGAUAUGUGGUUUCACCACAUUGCCCAGGCUGGUCUUGAACUCCUGGGCUUAAGCGAUCUGCCUAUCUCAGCCUUCCAACGUGCUGGGAUUACAGGCGUGAGCCACUGCCCCCAGCUGGAGGAUUUUGCAGUUCGUCAGUAGAUACCACUCACCUUCUUCAUGUAGACCCUCAAAGUCUCAGGGACAUAUGCAAGGCCCUCCAAGAACAUUCCAAAACAUAUGGCCACACCCAAAAGGCAGGAAAGUAAGUCAAGUUCUGCAAAUCAGUAAGCAUUCUGUUAAGUAACAUGCCUAUCUGUCAUGCUUGAUCCCUUGGAAUGGCUCUUUUGAACUGCCCCUUCCCUAUCAUGAAAUACAGGGAGCCCUCACUUUCACCCUUAAUGGCAUAAGUCUUCUAUUUGGAUGAUAACCUAUUAUAAGCACACAUUCACUAUUUUUGAUAAAAUUCUCUUGAAUUUGUACCCUUCUUUAUGGGCCACAGGUAGGUGAUUGGUAGGUUGUCACAGGACAUGAUGUGCCAUCUUUAUUCUAAGUAAUAAAAUAAUGUGUCCAGAAAUUCUUUUUAUGAAUAUAGGAAUAGUUAGAGACUACUGUCUUCAGCCCCUAUUUAACCUCAUGGUACUAUAUGUUGCCAAGGUCUGUGUUUCACUCUGAGGUUUAGCAAAACGUACUUAACUCUGCAUUAUAUAAAAUAUUAGCUAUGAGGAAAAAAAAUACCACUUUGAUGUAUAAACUUUUUCACUCUCUUCCAUGUAAUUAUUUAGGC
rnacentral:lncRNA from 10 species